GGACUCCGCCCGGGCCGAAAGUCUCUCCUCCGCGGCGUGCUUGCACGAAAGCGGAGGUAAGACUUUAUGACGCGCCCCACUCAUGAGCAUGGAGAGGGACCUCGUCCCUCGGAAUGCGAAUGAGGGGCGCAGGCCGCAAGACGCGAAGCGGCGAAGGCAUGCGGGAAUCA
rnacentral:sRNA from 1 species